rnacentral:rRNA from 1 species
GUGCAGCAGGCGAGAAUCUUCCACAAUGGACGAAAGUCUGAUGGAGCGACGCCGCGUGCGGGAUGAAGGCCUUAUGGGUUGUAAACCGCUGUCAGGGGGAGGAACAUCGGAAUGAACAAUACUCAUUCCGACUGACGUUACCCCACGAGGAAGCUCCGGCCAACUCCGUGCCAGCAGCCGCGGUAAUACGGGGGAGGCAAGCGUUGUCCGGAAUUAUUGGGCGUAAAGGGCGUGUAGGCGGCGAGGUAAGUCGAAUGUGAAAUCUCACGGCUCAACCGUGAAACUGCGUUCGAAAACUACCCCUGCUUGAGUACGGGAGAGGUGUACGGAAUUCCUGGUGUAGCGGUGG